AGACGUCUACAUUAGAUACCCCGGUAGUCCUGGCCGUAAACGAUGUGGACUUGGUGUUGGGAUGGCUCCGAGCUGCCCCAGUGCCGAAGGGAAGCUGUUAAGUCCACCGCCUGGGAAGUACGGUCGCAAGGCUGAAACUUAAAGAAAUUGGCGGGGGAGCACCACAAGAGGUGGAGGCUGCGGUUCAAUUGGACUCAACGCCGGAAAACUCAUCGGGAGCGACAGCAGUAUGAUUGCCAGGUUGAUGACCUUGCUUGACAAGCUG
rnacentral:rRNA from 1 species